AUUGAACGCUGGCGGCAUGCUUUACACAUGCAAGUCGAACGGCAGCGCGGGCUUCGGCCUGGCGGCGAGUGGCGAACGGGUGAGUAAUACAUCGGAACGUGCCCAGCAGUGGGGGAUAGCUCGGCGAAAGCCGGAUUAAUACCGCAUACGACCUGAGGGUGAAAGCGGGGGAUCUUCGGACCUCGCGCUAUCGGAGCGGCCGAUUGCGGAUUAGCUGGUUGGGGGGGUAAAGGCCUACCAAGGCGACGAUCUGUAGCUGGUCUGAGAGGACGACCAGCCACACUGGGACUGAUACACGGACAAGACCCCUACGGGAGGCAGCAGCGGGGAAUUUUGGACAAUGGCCGAAAGCCUGAGCCAGCAAUGCCGCUUGUGUGAUGAAGGCCUUCGGGUUGUAAAGCACUUUUGGCGGGAACGAAAAGGUAUGUGCCAAUACCACGAUUCGAUGACGGUACCCGCAGAAUAAGCACCGGCUAACUACGUG
rnacentral:rRNA from 1 species